AUGCUCCACAAUGGGUCAGUGCUCUGCGCCAGCGCCGCCGCCGCGGAAGGCCGCCUGCACGGCAGCUUCAAUUCCAGCCCAUUCAAGGUGGUGCUGCUGGCCUCUGGCAGAACACAUGAGCGAUCCUUCUCGGUCUGCGUCUACUCAUCGCAGACAGGCGCAUGGGGCGAUGUGAUUUCAGCAGAGUUUCAACCUGCCGCAAUGGAGCCUCUGUAUACUGCAUCCGAGCUGUACAUGUACGUCCCCAGUACCUUGGUUGGGAGCUCCAUCUACUGGCUGCUUCGUGGCAAUGGCGACACCAUCGUCGAGUUCGAUAUGGGUAGCCGGAGCCUGGCUAUGAUAGAGAUGCCACUAGAUCUGUAUGACCAUGAUAAAUCCAGCUCCUUCAUGACUAUGCCAGCGCAGGAUGGUGGGCUUGGCUUGAUCCUUGUGAAUGACUUCUAUGCCAAAUUAUGGAAGAGGGGGGCUGAUUGCAAUGGUGUCGCUAUAUGGGUGCCGGGGAUAACUAUUCAACUGGGCAAGCUUCUUUCACUGAAUGCUGAGCACAACAGAGGUCCACUGUCUUUGCUGGGAUUUUCCGAGGACAGCAAUGCGUUCGUGGCUGGGGCAUCUAGGAUCGGUAUCUUCGUGGUCUAUCUCAACCCUCUGAGGUUUAAGAAGAUUCAUGAAAGGAGGGAUCUCUGUAUCUUUCAUCCAUUUGAGAGUUUCUGUGUUGCAGGUAUCUAG
rnacentral:rRNA from 1 species